CACACAUGCUGACAAAGCAAAAGACUUUAUCGAUGGAGGGGCUAUUGUUGUGCCUGGCCAAGGUGGACAGUUUCAGUCAGUAGUUCCCCAACAUUAGCAUAUAUACUUUCUAUACAUCAAGUAGACAAUUUCACAGUAUAUACAUAUAUUGAAUAUUCAUAUAUUCAAAUAUUGUUAGAAACUGAGAUUUUCUGAUACACUAUAAUUUCAUAUUUUUCUUGCUGUUUUAAAACUGUAAUUUCUAAAGAAACAACCCAAGUAAUAAUAAGUAUAAUUAGCUAUCAGCGAUUUAGUAAAAUAAGUGUUAAUUUGGAAAAAUUUACUUCAGUAUUAGCUUUACUUAAUAAGAGUGCUAGAAAAUGUGGCCCUUUUCUUGGCUAGGAUGUAUGUGAGGAUAAAUUUAGAAUUUCUAGUCUAGUAAAUACUUCUCUGAUAAUAGCUUAAUUGUAGCUAUUUCAAACCAAAUUGUUUAAUUGUAGUGAAUCAUAUGCAAAUUGUUCAGAUGUAGGUCAACCUCCCACUCCCACAUUCUAGCACUUCUUUUCUGAUUCAAGACAAACUACUCAGUGCCUAACAGAAGGAGAAUGGUGCAGAUUAGAGACAUUAGAUAAAAACAGAACAACAAUAACGCAAAAACCAACAGUGGGCUAGGAGUCACAAAAAAGGCAAGGCAAGUUGCAUUUAUCUUAACCUUAGCUGAGGACCUCUUAUGCUGGUUGUGUGUUUGUACACAAUGAUCUGCUCACUGCUCAUGAGAUUUGUGGUUGGCCAAUUAUGGUGCUUCUAGGAUGCUAGGUUUCCUCAUCUGUAUUCAUUUUUGAUGAGCUGGUUGAGUGAGGAGUGGCCCUCACAGAUAGCAAAGAAUAUCUUGUGUAUAUGGGGAAGUGAUGGGGGUGGGGCCAAUUGAAAUAUACCGCCGUUGUACAAAGUCUGGAAAUCCUUUCUUUUUCUAGCUGCUACAUUCUGCUUCUAAUUUAUAGUUGCCUUUGUGAUGGGCUAUUGUAUCACUUUCUGAUGAACAACUGAGAUUUUAUGAUUCUAUUUAAUCUUUAUAUGUUGUCUACUAUACUUUGAAAGAAAAAUUUUAAUUUGCAGUUUGUAAAGCAUCAAAAACAUGAUAAUAACAGAUUUGUGAGUUUGUUAUAUUUGUUGUCCUUUAUCUUUGGUGAUUAUCACUGAUGUUUUUAGUAUAUUGACAGAAAAUAGUGUAUUGACAGAAAAUAAUUGCUUAUUAUUGAUGAAAAAUUAUUUUGGCUAUAAUCCUAAUAAAAUUAGAAUUCUGCCUUACUAGAAACAUGAUUUCUAAAAUUAUCAUUCCUCACUGGAAUUUAAGAAUUUGAACUUAUAUUUUCAUAUAAUUUAUAAUAUUAAAAUUUUCUAAAAUUUGAGUUAAACUUUUCAUUCUUAAAAAGUUAUUGUAGAAUUAUUAAGUUAAAUUACUGACUUACAGAGUUCUCAGCAUGGUAUAGUGGAAACGAAUCCAACUAGGAACCAUGAGGUUGCGGGUUUGAUCCCUGGCCUUGCUCAGUGGGUUAAGGAUCUAGUGUUGCCUUGAGCUGAGGUGUAGGUCAGACGUGGCUUGGAUCUGCCAUUGCUGUGACUGGCAUAGGCCGGCAGCUAUAGCUCCAAUUCGACCCCUAGCCUGGGAACCUCCAUAUUCUGUGGGUACAGCCCUCAAAAAGACAAACAAAACCAGAAAAAAAAAAAUUACUGACUUAAAAAGUGUCAGUAAUUUUUCUAGUUCUUAGAGUGGAGGAAAUAGAUGAUGUUUACUUUGUAUUUCUUUCAAUAUAAAUACUUUUGCUGUUUAAAUUAUUUAAAAUUUUUUAAAUAAAAAGUAAUACUAAAUAAAAAGUGAUAUUUUCCUUAAAGUUAACUACCUCUAAAAUUUUGGUGUUUAUUCUUCCUAAUUCCUUUUUUAUAUGCAUAAAUAUCAAUAUCAAUCUGUGCACAUAAUGCUUUUAUGUCAUAUCCAUGAUUCUGUUUUUUAAAAUUGUAAUUAUGAACAUUUUUCUAAGGCAAUAUGUUAUCUAUUUAAUUUUACAUAUUAGACAACUUUUUUGAUGGACCAUGAUUUAUUUAUUAAUCCCUCUAAACUUUUUUUAAAAAUAGAACUUUAAAAUAGAAUGAAAGCAGGCCUUUCUUAAUUACAUUUUUGGCAGGGAUACAAAAGAAUAAUUCUCAUUUGUACAUUGAAUUAGGAAAUUAAGGAGUAAAGAAAGUGUUACAGUAAAGAGGCCUAAAACAUAUUAGGUGGGUGCAUAUUAAUGGUUGGGGAAAGAAAAGCUAAUAAUACAGAUGUUCAUGAAACUGUUUUACGUAUAUAAAACUGGAACUCUGAUUUUUUCCCAAGGGUCACAGCAAAUGACACCCCCUCCCGUUAGCUUUCAAAGAGAUAUUUUCCUUCAUCUUCAUUCUCAUCAGUUGUCUUAUAUCUUCAUACCACUUUGGAGAAAAAUAUAUCUCUUUACAUUAUGUCACAUAUAAAAAUUCAUCUUGUGUUUAUCUUUUUUCCCCUGUGAGGCUGUUGACCCUCAGAGGGUAGUUACUGUGUGUUACUCCUCCUCGAACCUAGUAGGUGCUGAAAAAAUGGUCAUUCAGUUAACUUGGAUUGAAGUGUGAAAAGGGGGAGAAAUCAGGUGGAAAUAUUUAAUCUUACCAAAAUUUCAUCAAGUACCUCUAUCUCCCUAUUAUCUCUGGAGUAAAGUAGUAAUUAAUUAUUUUGAUGAAUGGGAUACAAAGGAUAUAAACACAUGAUUUUUUAUUACAAUGAAAGUAAUCUAAAUUGAAUUUUAAUGAUUCUUAUUGGUA
rnacentral:lncRNA from 1 species